rnacentral:rRNA from 1 species
AAAAAGAAAAACACAACACACAUAGUGUAAAAUAUAAGACUGUGUCCUAUUACACUUUUUUUCUUCUUUUGAAUGAACUGUAGUGUUACACUGAAUAAUUUCUUUGGUAAUGAGAAAAAAGCAGAUGGGCGAGCGCCAUUCUGAAGGGCCGGCGAUGGCCUCCGUUGCCCUCGGCCGAUCGAAAAGAAGUCGGCUUCAGAUCCCCGAAUCCGGAGUGGCGGAGCCGGGCACCGCGAGGCGUCCAGUGCGGUAACGCAACCGAUCCCGGAGAAGCUGGCGGAAGCCCGGGGGAGAGUUCUCUUUUCUUUGUGAAGGGUAGGGCGCCCUGGAAUGGGUUCGCCCCGAGAGAGGGGCCCGCGCCUUGGAAAGCGUCGCGGUUCCGGCGGCAUCUGCUGAGCUCUCGCUGACCCUUGAAAAUCCGGGGGAGAGGGUGCCAAUCUCGCGCCCGCCUUACGCAUAUCCCCAGCAGGUCUCCAAGGUAAACAGCCUCUGACAUGUUAGAACAAUGUAGGUAAGGGAAGUCGGCAAAGCCGGAUCCGUAACUUUCGGCUAAGGGCUGGGUCGGUCUGGCUGGGCGCCAAGCAGGGCUGGGCGGAGCCGCUGCUGGACGUGGCGCCGCCACCCCCCCCCCCCAUGCCCUGGGCACCUUCCCCCUCGUCCAAGCCCGCCUCCUCGGUCCCCUCUGCCCCACCCAGCUUGGCUUUCCCCCUCUCCUGUCCCCCUUCCCUCGUGGAGUUGCGGGGGCAGAGAGCGGGAUGGGUGGCUGGGACCUGGCGGUGGGGGGGCGGGGGUUCCUCCGCGGGGCCCGCGGGCCCGAUGGGGGCCCGGACACCCGGGGGGCAGGUGGCCGCGACGACUCUGGAUGCGAGCCAGCCUCUUCCCGUGGAUCGCCUCAGCUGCGGCUGGCAUCGCUGUGGCGCCGGAGGAGCCCAGCUGGCGCUGGAGCCGCCCGGCUAUUCCACGCGCGCGCCGCGCUGGUUGGGGGAGUAGGCUGGAGGGGCAGUCCCCGCCUCCCCCCGCCCCCUGCCUCCGCCGCCGGCUCCCAGAGUGGUGGGGUGCCAGUGCGCCGGCAUACCCCCCGUCAGUCCCCCGCUGUUUAAUUAAAACAAAGCAUCGCGAAGGCCCUCUGAUGGCGCUGACGCGAUGUGAUUUCUGCCCAGUGCUCUGAAUGUCAAAGUGAAGAAUUUCAAUGAAGCGCGGGUAAACCGUGGGACUAACUAUGACUCUCUUAAGGUAGCCAAAUGCCCCGUCAUCUAAUUAGUGACCCGCAUGAAUGGAUGAACGAGAUUCCCACUGUCCCUACCUACUAUCCAACGAAACCACAGCCAAGGGAACGGGCUUGGCGGAAUCAGCGGGGAAAGAAGACCCUGUUGAGCUUGACUCUAGUCUGGCACGGUGAAGAGACAUGAGAGGUGUAGAAUAAGUGGGAGGCCCCGGCGCCCCUCCGUUUCCCUGCGAGGGGGGCGGGACGGGGUCCGCCGGCCCUGCGGACCGCGGAUGAAAUACCACUACUCUGUUUUUUCACUAACGUGGGCGGGGGGCAUGAGCCCCGAGGGGCUCUCGCUUCUGGCGCCUGGCUUGGCCGCUUGCCAGCCUGGUGCGAGUGGCUCCCGGGACAGUGCCAGGUGGGAAGUUUGACUGGAGCGGUACACCUGUCAAACGGUAACGCAGGUGUCCUAAGGCGAACUCAGGGAGGACAGAAACCUCCCGUGGAGCAGGAGGGCAAAAGCUCGCUUGGUCUUGAUUUUCAGUACGAAUACACACAGUGAAAGCGGGGCCUCACGAGCCUUCUGACCUUUAGGGUUUCAAGCAGGAGGUGUCAGAAAAGUCACCACAGGGAUAAGUGGCUUGUGGCAGCCAAGUGUUCAUAGCGACAUCGCUUUUUGAUCCUUUGAUGUCGGCUUUUCCUAUCAUUGUGAAGCAGAAUUCACCAAGCGUUGGAUUGUCCAUCCACUAAUAGGAAUGGUGAGCUAGGUUUAGACCGUUGUGAGACAGGUUAGUUUUACCCUAAUGAUGAUGUGUUGUUGCCAUGGUAAUCCUGCUCAGUCUGAGAGGAACCACAGGUUCAGACAUGUGGUGUAUGUGCCUGGCUGAGGAGCCAAUGGGGUGAAGCUACCUUCUGUGGGAUUAUGACUGAACGCCUCUAAGUCAGAAUCCCACCCAGGAGGAAGGAUAUGGCAGCACCGUGGAGCCUCAUUUGGCCUCGGAUAGCGGAUCCCCCACAUCCCCGCAGGCGAGCCUGUCCUUCACGCUCCCGGCCCCUCACCCACAGGGACCGGGGUCCGGUGCAGAGUGCCCUUUGUCCGGGGAGAAAGAGGCGUGGCUGGAAAAGAGACUGCCCUGUCCCCCAUCACGUACCUCAUGUUC